AAGAAAGUGGCAGAGUGGUUAUGCGUCUGGUUUGAAACCAGCGGAUGGGGGUUCGAUUCCUUCCUUUCUCG
rnacentral:tRNA from 1 species